UGUCAAGUGCAGCGGCUCGAGUGAUACAGAAUUUCAAAUAUACCCGACAACCUACCGAAGUCGUACACAUCUUCUAGUGGACUUUUUUUAUGUGUGCCUAGAAAGGUAUUGGACCCUAGAAGCCAAAAACAAUUUCUCGUCUCUUGGCUGGAGGGAGGUGAUCUAAAACCGGAAACAUGCAAAUUACUUGUGGAAAUUUCUCCAGUCAUUCCGCAUCCGAAAAGCAACGAAAGCAUCAAAAGGCUGUUUUUCUCCUGAUCGCUAGGUCUCAGCUUUACAAUGACACCAAACUUGUAUGGGAAGUGUCUCCUUUGAAUUCUACUGGAAACUGCGUCAGAUUUCAGCAGACUGUUUUUCAUGAGAAUCCCUCAUUAAUUCCACUCUCUCUCUCCCGUAUUUCGAUGUCCAAUUUAUUUAGUCAGUCAACAACCUUUGCAGUCACCAAAUUCAAAUCUUUGAAGCUACCACGCAACGUAUCUCUGUAUACGGUCUAUGAAAGUUGAGUCGCCGAACUUCCCCCUGUACAUUUGCUGCUGACACCAGCCAUGACUAGAGCACAUAUCCCAAGCGAAGACCUCAAACUUUCCCCUUUUCGUGUGGAUUUCCACUUUUCGUACAUGGAUCUUCGAUCUGAUAUUUUGUUUGUAAAAUUGUUGAAAUUAGUUUUAGCUAGUGCGGUCUUAAAUAGCAAAAUAAAUAUAUAUGUUCAAACU